rnacentral:lncRNA from 1 species
GAACAAGUGCCCAAUUAAUUAGGCAGUGAUCAAGAUAAUUGGGCUGUGUCAUUUAUAUAUUCAGUGGGACUGGCUCAGUGCUGGGGACACAGCAAGACAGAUCCCAUUGGUUUAUAGGACUCUGACAAGUGUUAUUUUGUAGCAUAUAGUAGAUGUGCACUUAGGUUAGAUACAGCUGAAUUAAUUUCUCACUAGAAAACGAAACAUAUGUAAUCAGGAUUUUCUCUCCGUGGCGGGUUCAUUCCUGACCUUUACAACCAGGGCAGUGAACCAAGACAUAAAGUGCUGUAUAAUUAGGUAUUUGUUUCUGGUUUGGGGAAGAUUUGCUUAAAGCGCAGCCCAUUUCUGAUGGCGAGGCGAGCUCCCCGACGCCCCGUGCGGGGCGUGUGUCUGUUAGUCCCUACGAUGUCCUUUGGCUGAGUGAACCAAACAGUGCCCAGGCCAAGUCAGUGCGGCUCCGACGGUUCUCUGAUUUGUUCAAGAGUCUCUAACUGGUGUUUUUUCUUUCCCACUUUGAGCAGGUGGCUCCCUGUGCUGCGGGGAUAGCAGCCACCUCAGGGGUCGGGUCUGCGCCAGAUUUUUCGAGCAGCAGCCUGAGCUGCCUCAGUUGGUUCUACGAGUGGCAAGUGGCAAAACAAGUAUUUCAAAGGACGAGAUAUUUGGACGCCGCAGGAGGUGCAUGCAGUGUGGACGCCUCCUGACACAAGAUGGGGUCGCCUGGACCCUGUGCCAGAGUCAGCAUCACUUGACCUGUUCACACCCACGCUUCUGGGACUCUCAGACCCUGAAUGGAAAAGUCUUUAGCAUAUUCUACACUUUGCCUCAGAGAAAGAUGCUUUCUGAAUCCUGUGUAUAUACCUAUUUAAUACAAAUGAUGCUGGACAAAGAUAAUGAGGCAUUUUAGAUAAAAAUAUGCUUUCCAGUCUGGCACUGUGAAGCAUGUCUGUAAUCCCAGAGACUGGGGAGGCUGAGACAGGAGGAUGGCAGGUUUGAGGCCAGCAUUCGCAAUUUAGUGAGACAUUGUCUCAAAUAGAAAAUAAAGAAGGCUGGGAUGUAAUUCAGUGGUAAAGCACUGCUGGGUUCAAUCCCCAGGACAAAAAAAAAUUAUGAAGGAGAAUCAUAUAUUAAAAUUUUAAAAUGAUUGCAGGGAACAUGGGGUCAUACAAUGGAGGCAAUGAGCAGUUCUUCUGCACGAAUUCCUUCUGCAUUUGUUACAUGGUUUUCCCAACACUCCCCUUGGUUAUGUGAAUCAUAGGAUUCUCAAUGAUUUGAUAAAUGUGAAUAUGAAGUUUAAUAUAUUUAGGCCUGCCCAAAUUCAUCCAACAGAUGAGUCACAAGUGAGGAAAAGCCAACACAAAUAUGCUAUUUCCCCUAAAUUCUGAUUAAGAGAAAAGAAAUAUGUGUUUAAUAUUUUUUUCAAUUAUUUUAAUGAGUCAUAAUAACAGACUAAUCAGAUGCUAGAGUUGGACAAAGGCAGUUGGAAGGGACCGGGUCCAAGCUCUUGAUUCUCAUAAGGGAGUGGGGACCUGGAAAGCAGGCUUGUGCAGGCGCCCUUACACGGGGUGGGGGCUUGAGCAGCUCUAGUCCCCUGAAGUCCUGCAGGGAGACCCGCGGCCUCAGAACGGGUUCCAGGGCUGAGCGCUCAUGUGCCUGACAGUGUGCUGGUGUUUGAUCAAAUCUUUCAAAACUCCAGUGGGGCACUUAAUAUUAUCCCCACUUAAAGGAAGCAGAGGUCGGGGCACAGGCCUGUAAUCCCAGCAGCUCGGAAGGCCGAGACAGGAGGAGCCCAAGUUUGAGGC